CUGGAAUUGGGAUGGCAGUUCUGGAAUCUCCUGAAGUGUGUGUCACAUUUGGUCAAGAUUGGUUUGAAAAUCAAAUUCCUUGACUUUGACC